rnacentral:rRNA from 1 species
AGUGAACGCGGGCGGCGUGCUUAACACAUACAAGUCGAACGAGAACGGGAUAUAGCUUGCUAUAUUUGUCAGCUAAGUGGCGCACGGGUGAGUAAGGUAUAGGUAAUAUGCCUCUUAUUAAGGGAUAACAAUUAGAAACGAUUGCUAAUACCUUAUAUGCCUUUAAGACUAAAGUCUGCAAGGUAAAGAUUUAUUGGUAAGAGAUUAGCCUGUAUUGUAUCAGCUAGUUGGUGAGGUAAUGGCUCACCAAGGCUAUGACGCAUAACUGGUUUGAGAGGAUGACCAGUCACACUGGAACUGAGACACGGUCCAGACUCCUACGGGAGGCAGCAGUGGGGAAUAUUGCACAAUGGACGAAAGUCUGAUGCAGCAACGCCGCGUGGAGGAUGACACAUUUCGGUGCGUAAACACCUUUUAUAUAGGAAGAUAAUGACGGUACUAUAUGAAUAAGCACCGGCUAACUCCGUGCCAGCAGCCGCGGUAA